rnacentral:rRNA from 1 species
UCGGGAAUUUUGGGCAAUGGGGGAAACCCUGACCCAGCAACGCCGCGUGAAGGAUGAAGUAUUUCGGUAUGUAAACUUCGAAAGAAUAGGAAGAAUAAAUGACGGUACUAUUUAUAAGGUCCGGCUAACUACGUGCCAGCAGCCGCGGUAAUACGUAGGGACCAAGCGUUGUUCGGAUUUACUGGGCGUAAAGGGCGCGUAGGCGGCAAUUCAAGUCAUCUGUGAAAUCUCCGGGCUUAACUCGGAACGGUCAGAUGAUACUGCUUUGCUAGAGUGCAGAAGGGGCAAUCGGAAUUCUUGGUGUAGCGGUGAAAUGCGUAGAUAUCAAGAGGAACACCUGAGGUGAAGACGGGUUGCUGGGCUGACACUGACGCUGAGGCGCGAAAGCCAGGGGAGCAAACGGGAUUAGAUACCCCCGUAGUCCCUGAGCGGG